GGCCAAGUCGCCUUCACCCUGGACUCAGGAAGUAGCUUUCCAGCUGGCGCAGAAUUGGAUCCGAACCAACUUUGAUGUCUACUCCCAAAAGGCAGCCAUGUAUGAGAAGUAUGACAUCGGCAAUGGUGGACAACCCGGUGGCGGAGGGGAGUAUGAAGUUCAGGAGGGGUUUGGCUGGACCAAUGGAGUGGUCCUGAUGCUCCUGGAUCUCUAUGGUGACCGGCUGAGUUCAGGGACCCAGACAGCUUUCCUGGAGCCCCACUGCCUCACAGUUGCCCUUCUGCUUAGCCUGCUGCCACAGUGAUGGGCCUCACUGCCCCCUCUGCCUUCAGGUGCUCCUCUAGCUCCAGCUCCUGCCUCAUUAAACCUGUGCAUGAGUCCCUA